AUUGAACGCUGGCGGCAGGCUUAACACAUGCAAGUCGAGCGAGCGGCGGACGGGUGAGUAAUGUCUGGGAAACUGCCUGAUGGAGGGGGAUAACUACUGGAAACGGUAGCUAAUACCGCAUACCAUCAGAUUGUCCCAGAUGGGAUUAGCUAGUAGGUGGGGUAAUGGCUCACCUAGGCGACGAUCCCUAGCUGGUCUGAGAGGAUGACCAGACACACUGGAACUGAGAAACGGUCCAGACUCCUACGUGAGGCAGCAGUGGGGAAUAUUGCACAAUGGGCGCAAGCCUGAUGCAGCCAUGCCGCGUGUGUGAAGAAGGCCUUCGGGUUGUAAAGCACUUUCAGCGAGGAGGCGUUAUUUGCAGAAGAAGGACCGUCUUACUGCGUGCCAGCAGCCGCGGUAAUAC
rnacentral:rRNA from 1 species